rnacentral:misc_RNA from 1 species
CACCACUCAAGCCUCGCUUGGUAUUGGGCGUCGCGAGUCUCUCGCGCGCCUUAAAGUCUCCGGCUGUUUGACCCGUCUCCCAGCGUUGUGACAAAUUUCGCAGUGGAGUUCGAGUUAACAUGGCCGUUAAAUCUUUCAAA